GACAGAGGGUGCAAACGUUGCUCGGAAUUACUGGGCGUAAAGCGCGUGUAGGCGGAUCGGUGUGUCGGAUGUGAAAUCCCCGGGCUCAACCCGGGAACUGCAUUCGAAACUGCCGAUCUUGAGUGCCGGAGAGGGUAGCGGAAUUCCUGGUGUAGAGGUGAAAUUCGUAGAUAUCAGGAGGAACACCGGUGGCGAAGGCGGCUACCUGGACGGCAACUGACGCUUAGGCGCGAAAGCGUGGGGAGCAAACAGG
rnacentral:rRNA from 1 species